rnacentral:rRNA from 1 species
AUUGAACGCUGGCGGCAUGCUUUACACAUGCAAGUCGAACGGUAACAGGGUGCUUGCACCGCUGACGAGUGGCGAACGGGUGAGUAAUGUAUCGGAACGUACCGUGUAAUGGGGAUAACGCAUCGAAAGGUGUGCUAAUACCGCAUACGCCCUGAGGGGGAAAGUGGGGGACCGAAAGGCCUCACGUUAUACGAGCGGCCGAUAUCUGAUUAGCUAGUUGGUGAGGUAAAGGCUCACCAAGGCGACGAUCAGUAGCGGGUCUGAGAGGAUGAUCCGGCACACUGGGACUGAGACACGGCCCAGACUCCUACGGGAGGCAGCAGUGGGGAAUUUUGGACAAUGGGCGAAAGCCUGAUCCAGCAAUGCCGCGUGCAGGAAGAAGGCCUUCGGGUUGUAAACUGCUUUUGUACGGAGCGAAAAGGUCUCCUCUAAUACAGGGGGCUCAUGACGGUACCGUAAGAAUAAGCACCGGCUAACUACGUGCCAGCCGCCGCCGUAA